rnacentral:rRNA from 1 species
UACGUAGGGUGCAAGCGUUGUCCGGAAUUAUUGGGCGUAAAGAGCGUGUAGGCGGCUCGAUAAGUCUGCUGUGAAAGUCCAGGGCUCAACCCUGGAAGGCCGGUGGAAACUGUCGGGCUAGAGUCCGGAAGAGGCGAGUGGAAUUCCUGGUGUAGCGGUGAAAUGCGCAGAUAUCAGGAGGAACACCAAUGGCGAAGGCAGCACUCUGGGACGGUACUGACGCUGAGACGCGAAAGCGUGGGGAGCAAACAGG